AUGCCCAUGUCGUCACCUCCGGUGACUACAGAUCGCAAAACACAUCCAGCUGAGCGCGCGCACACGCGGAACCCCUUACAUGUCUCCUCUAGCAACGAAUGGCCCGCAGCAUCAUGUCGGAGAACGGCCGGAAGCUCCACGUUGCAUCCCUAUUUCCUACCAUAUAACUGGAAUUACCGAUGCAAGUCGAAAAAGGAUUGGUCGGUGCUGUUGGCUGGUGUCAAGUUUGAUCCCACGGAUCAGGAGCUGAUCAAGCACCUCGAGGCCAAAGUGAGUGCUGAAAGCGCGAGAUCUCACCCUCUCAUCGAUUUGUUCAUACCAACCAUCGACAGCGAGCACGCCAUAUGCUACACCCAACCUGAGAAACUUCCAGGUAUCACACAGAGUGGCCUAAGGAAGCAUAUCUUCCAGCGCAAUUCCAGGGUGUUCAAAAGGGGCACGUUGAUGCGUCACAAGAUACAGUUGGAGUGCGGCAUGCACGCGAUGUGGCACAAGACCGGCAAUUCCUUGCCAGUGAUGGUCAACGACCGGCAGACGGGCAACACAAAGGUUCUGGUGCUGCACACCAACAAGAACUUCGACCGACAAAGGACCAACUAG
rnacentral:rRNA from 1 species